CGGAGCGUGGCGCAGUUGGCAGCGCGCCUGGUUUGGGACCAGGAGGUCGAAGGUUCAAAUCCUUUCGCUCCGACCA
rnacentral:tRNA from 1 species